CGGCUUGCUGGGUGGAUUAGUGGCGAACGGGUGAGUAACACGUGAGUAACCUGCCCCCGACUCUGGGAUAAGCCCGGGAAACUGGGUCUAAUACCGGAUAUUACCUUUGACCGCAUGGUUGUUGGUGGAAAGAUUUAUCGGUGGGGGAUGGACUCGCGGCCUAUCAGCUUGUUGGUGAGGUAAUGGCUCACCAAGGCGACGACGGGUAGCCGGCCUGAGAGGGUGACCGGCCACACUGGGACUGAGACACGGCCCAGACUCCUACGGGAGGCAGCAGUGGGGAAUAUUGCACAAUGGGCGAAAGCCUGAUGCAGCGACGCCGCGUGAGGGAUGACGGCCUUCGGGUUGUAAACCUCUUUCAGUAGGGAAGAAGCGAAAGUGACGGUACCUGCAGAAGAAGCGCCGGCUAACUACGUGCCAGCAGCCGCGGUAAUACGUAGGGCGCAAGCGUUAUCCGGAUUUAUUGGGCGUAAAGAGCUCGUAGGCGGUUUGUCGCGUCUGCCGUGAAAGUCCGAGGCUCAACCUCGGAUCUGCGGUGGGUACGGGCAGACUAGAGUGAUGUAGGGGAGACUGGAAUUCCUGGUGUAGCGGUGAAAUGCGCAGAUAUCAGGAGGAACACCGAUGGCGAAGGCAGGUCUCUGGGCAUUUACUGACGCUGAGGAGCGAAAGCAUGGGGAGCGAACAGGAUUAGAUACCCUGGUAGUCCAUGCCGUAAACGUUGGGCACUAGGUGUGGGGGACAUUCCACGUUUUCCGCGCCGUAGCUAACGCAUUAAGUGCCCCGCCUGGGGAGUACGGCCGCAAGGCUAAAACUCAAAGGAAUUGACGGGGGCCCGCACAAGCGGCGGAGCAUGCGGAUUAAUUCGAUGCAACGCGAAGAACCUUACCAAGGCUUGACAUGUGCCAGACCGCCUCAGAGAUGGGGUUUCCCUUCGGGGCUGGUUCACAGGUGGUGCAUGGUUGUCGUCAGCUCGUGUCGUGAGAUGUUGGGUUAAGUCCCGCAACGAGCGCAACCCUCGUUCCAUGUUGCCAGCACGUAAAGGUGGGGACUCAUGGGAGACUGCCGGGGUCAACUCGGAGGAAGGUGGGGAUGACGUCAAAUCAUCAUGCCCCUUAUGUCUUGGGCUUCACGCAUGCUACAAUGGCCGGUACAAUGGGUUGCGAUACUGUGAGGUGGAGCUAAUCCCUAAAAGCCGGUCUCAGUUCGGAUUGGGGUCUGCAACUCGACCCCAUGAAGUCGGAGUCGCUAGUAAUCGCAGAUCAGCAACGCUGCGGUGAAUACGUUCCCGGGCCUUGUACACACCGCCCGUCAAGUCACGAAAGUUGGUAACACCCGAAGCCGAUGGC
rnacentral:rRNA from 1 species